rnacentral:rRNA from 1 species
AUACGUAGGGUCCAAGCAUUAUCCGGAUUGACUGGGUGUAAAGAGUUGCGUAGGUGGUGUCUUAAGUAGAUAGUGAAAUCUGGUGGCUCAACCAUUCAGACUAUUAUCUAAACUGAGGCGCUCGAGAGCGUUAGGGGUAGCUGGAAUUUCUAGUGUAGGAGUGAAAUCCGUAGAUAUUAGAAAGAACACCGAUAGCGUAGGCAGGCUACUGGGACGUUUCUGACACUAAGGCACGAAAGCGUAGGGAGCAAACGGGAUUAGAUACCCCGGUAGUCUACGCUGUAAACGAUGGAUACUAGCAGUUUCGGGUAUCGACCCCUGGAGUUGCGAAGCUAACGCGUUAAGUAUCCCACCUGUGUAGUACGAUCGCAAGAUUAAAACUUAAAGGAAUUGACGGGG